AUCACAACAACAACUUGUUUACAGAAUCUAACGUUGACAGCUAGAAAUGUGAGAGAAGUGUACCGACUAGAUUUACGAAAUAUUCGAAGGCAGCAGUACAACUGUAUCAAUUUUCAGUUGACCGUUAUCACACUAGAUAAAUUGUUAGAGAUGGGGGAAUCUCCGACCCAUGGCUCAGGUGAUUAUGACUACCUCAUCAAAUUCCUUGCUCUAGGUGAUUCAGGUGUUGGGAAAACUUCCAUGUUAUAUCAGUAUACAGAUAAUGUGUUCACAGGUAAAUUUAUCUCCACAGUUGGGAUCGACUUCAGAGAAAAACGUGUGGUACAUAGAGCACCUGGUACUGAUGGUACGCUAGGAAGAAGUCAAAGAAUACAUCUACAAUUGUGGGAUACUGCUGGUCAAGAGAGGUUUAGGAGUUUAACUACUGCAUUUUUCCGAGACGCAAUGGGAUUUCUACUCUUGUUUGAUCUGACAAGUGAACAGUCAUUUAUGAAUAUACGCAACUGGUUGACGCAACUUCAGACACAUGCAUACUGCGAGAAUCCUGAUAUUGUUUUAUGUGGCAAUAAGGUUGAUCUAGAAGAUCAACGACAAAUCAGCGAACAAAGAGCCAGGGAGAUGGCAGAAAAACAUGGAUUGCCUUAUUUUGAAACAAGUGCAGCAAAUGGCCAGAAUGUUGCCAAGGCAAUAGAAUGUCUCUUGGACAUGGUCAUGUUGCGAAUGGAACGUUCUGUAGACAAGUCCAUUUUUCCUGGAUCUAAAAAUAAAAGUAGAUAUGAAAUGGAUGAAGCUGGAGGUGAAGGAGGCUGUGGCUGCUGAUUGGUUGUUAUUUUUAGUUUAUAUGUUACUAUUUAUAGACAACGCCUACAAAACUUUAGAGAAACGAAAAAAAGGACCAUAGAUAUUAGUUUAGUUAAAGGAAGGUAGUUUUUAUUCACCUUUAUGUGAUUCAUAGAGGUAAAGAAUGGAAUUGUUUAGCUUUUAGGAACAAAUUAUGUUCUUAGUACUUGAACUAGUAUAGUCAGAGGGGCCAUGGCAUUUUAAAUUUAUAUUGUUGAUAUGUCUUUAAUGGUUGCUUUUGCCUGCAAGAACCAGUUUGUAUAAAAUAUAGCUAGAAAAUUUUAGCUUCUGCAUGCUACAUUACAGUUCAGAUUUAAGCUGUCAUAGCAACUGCUUAAGAAUUUGGGAUAUUUGGAACCCCUUUGCCUUCAUGGUAAAACCUGAAUAACCAAAUAAAAUAAUUGACACAGUAAUUGUUUCAGUAAGAAAUGAUAUUUUUUGUCCAUAACUAUGAUUCAUUACUGUUGUGAAAAGUUUUUGUUAUAAAAUCGAGAUUAUUUCAUUGUUGUACAGGCGUGCAUACAUUGUAGGAUUUUUAGUCUGUAGUUUUCUAAAUACGUCUUUUGCAUUUAAAAAUAAAUAAAUCACGUAAAGCGAAAUUUCGAAGUUUAAAACUUUGUACAUUUAUGCGAUGGUUUGAAAUAUCAUGCUGUAAAAUCAUUUAAUUUCAUGGGCAUUAAAUUUUGUGGUUUUAGUAAGAACAGCAAUUAUGGGGAUAUGAAUUUGUGGAUUUCAGUUUUUGAACAUAUAAAUACAAAUAAAUGGGAAUUUUUCUGUAUGACUGUAUGUGUAUACAUGUAUGUAUACACAUUUUGAAAUCUAGGCUUCUCUGUUGUUAAGAAUACUCAGCCUUAAUGUUGUGAGAUUGGUGUUUGUAAAACUGCAAGUAUUUCAAAUUGUUAAAUUCUGCAUACUGUAAAAUCAUUUAAAUUCGUAGGGCAUGAAAUUUUGUUGUUUUGGUCAACACUGGCAAUUUGGUAGGGACUAUGAAUUCGUGGAAUGUCAACUUUUGAACAUAAACUGAAUGGUAAUUUUACUUGUUCGAUGGGAUUUAAUUUCGUAGAUUGACUUAACCACGAAAUCCACGAAAAUUAGUCCCCCACGAAUAUUAAUGAUUUCACAGUAUUUAAUGUAUAAUGACUUCUGUUGUAAGUUGGUGUAAAGGAGGAACAUGUUAAAUACCUUAUGUUUCUGCAGGCCUAAAUAAAUAAGUGAUAUUGGCAGUAAUGAUCAGGCCUGAUGAAAAUAAUUUGAUUUCAUACAAUUAAAAUACAUGUACCACUUGCUCCAGCACCCUGCAAAGUCCCUGUCUAUUUUCGUAUAUUUCUGUGUUUGCAUGGCUUGAAAUCCUUGAUAAACAGUUAUAUUUACAUUCCUUGUGACUUGCAGUGAACAGGGCUUUACUGUAAAGUUUCUAAAAUUUAGCAGUUAUUUUAAAGAUAUUUUUUUUUUAAAAAUUCCGUAUGUUGUGUUGAUAUAAGAAAAGCUAUUUAUAGGUUGUGUACAUGAGAACAAACAUUUUUUUUACAUGCCAGACAGGAUUUUUCCCAUGUUUUUACUGGUGCUAGAAAAACUCAUCUUUCACUCCGAGAUGUAGGAUGACUUGCCUGCUGUAAUUUAUGAAUGAAUGCAUAAUUUUCAAAGACCUUUAUAAUGAAAUAGUGCUUAAAAAAAGCAUUUUAAAUGUUUUACUUUAUUUCUUCUGUAAAUUGAAGAAAAUGGUAUGCAAGGAAAAGAAUAUAUCACUAGUUGAGGUAGCAGAGGGAGAUGUCUGGUUCUCAUGUUAGUGUUUUGAAGUAACUCGGCAGAGCCUCAUUGCUGUCUUAACAGUUACCAUCGAGUUAGAUAUUUCAUUCAUCGCACCUUAAACUGUUGAAAGAUUCUUAUAAUUUAUAAAAAAAAAAAAUUUCAUGUGCCAAAUCUAAGUUUUGAAAACAAAAACUUUCCCCAUGUUGAAUCAUAUGACUGGGUUCUAAAUACUUCACUUACAUUUUGUAAAAAAAAUAAAUAUAUGAGCCGUGUCAUGGGAAAACCAACAUAGUGGCUUU
rnacentral:misc_RNA from 1 species